CGGGUGAGGAGAAAGCAAGAAAGAGAGACACAGGCGGAGAGUAGACGGCAGGACUUUCACAGAAAAGAACCAUCCUGCCGUCUUUAAUUCUCGCCA
rnacentral:ribozyme from 1 species